AGAAUCAACGCUGGCGGCGUGCCUAACACAUGCAAGUCGAACGAGAAAGUGGAGCAAUCCAUGAGUAAAGUGGCGACCGGGUGAGUAACACGUGACUACCUACCCUUGAGUGGGGGAUAACCUCGGGAAACCGAGGCUAAUACCGCAUAAUAUCGAAAGAUCAAAGGAGUAAUCCGCUUUUGGAGGGGUCGCGGCUGAUUAGCUAGUUGGUAGGGUAAUGGCCUACCAAGGCGAAGAUCGGUAUCCGGCCUGAGAGGGCGCACGGACACACUGGAACUGAAACACGGUCCAGACUCCUACGGGAGGCAGCAGUGGGAAUUUUGCGCAAUGGGGGAAACCCUGACGCAGCAACGCCGCGUGGAGGAUGAAGCCCCUUGGGGUGUAAACUCCUUUCGACCGGGAAAAUAAUGAUGGUACCGGUGGAAGAAGCACGGCUAACUCUGCGCCAGCAGCCGC
rnacentral:rRNA from 1 species